GACUUGCGCCCGGUUUCAGGAUAAACAUUUGAAUGUCAGGAAAGGGAACCCGGUGUGAAUCCGGGACGGGCCCGCCGCUGUAACCGGGGACAAAAAUCGCAGAUACCAUUGAAUCGGAAGAUUCGAGAAGGUGCGAUGAGUAGAAUGAUCCGGAAGUCAGAAUACCUCCUCCUGAGCUUUAUCUUUAUC
rnacentral:ncRNA from 2 species